rnacentral:antisense_RNA from 1 species
CCGUGUAAGAAGUGCCUUUCGCCUCCCGCCAUGAUUCCGAGGCCUGCCCAGCCAUGUGGAACUGUUGUCGCUGCCCUCAGCCUCCAGAUGCAGCCCGCUGCCACCUUCAGGACCCCUGGCUCUCCCUUUGACUCAGUAGCAAAAGGGUUUAUGUGCUCGGAGGGAGUCCUUCAGGAAUCUGUGCAUAGAAUGCCAUAGUGCAGAGGAAAGUCUUCUUUCUGAAACCAGCCCAACUUUUCUCCCAGAGAGUAUCAUGGAACUGAACUUUCAAGAUCAUGGCAUCUGGACAUGGAGACAACAGAACCCUCAUCUGGCCACCUGCUGCUUGUUGACCAAUUCCCAUAUAAACCACUAACUUCAGUCAGUUGGAGAGACGGAUUUGAGAUUUGCCUUCUGUCUCUCAGCUGAUGUCACCAGCAAUAAAGCCUUCUUCCCUGGC